UUGUUUAGUUUUGUUUUGGUUUGGACAGAUUUUCAAUUUGGACAUUUGGAGGAAUGAACAUCUUUGUUUUGUUCUGGAGGAAAGUUCUCUCCCACAAAAUGGAC